UUACAAAGGAGAGAAGAAGUUGGUCAAUCUCUCUAAGUGACUAGAGACACAGUCCAGUUUAUUAUAUUUACACCCCCUCCCACACUAUUUCUAUAUUGGUGUCAGAAAAUGAACACAAAUUAUCUCACUUUUUCUUAUGUGUUAAUUACUUUGUUGUUACCCCUAGCAUCGUCAACAAUUUCAUAUCACCCAAAACAUAUUCCAGCUAUCUAUGUUUUUGGUGAUUCCCUUGUUGACAGUGGUAACAACAAUUAUCUUCCAAUUCUAUCAAAUGCAAAAUUUCCUCCUUACGGUAUAGACUUUGGUGGUGCCAAACCUACUGGUCGAUGCACUAAUGGAAAAACAACUGUUGUUUACAUAGCUAUACAUCUAGGGCUACCCUUUGUUCCUCCCUAUUUGGGACUUUCAAAGGCUCAAAGAAACAAAAUCACGACGGGCAUAAAUUUUGCGUCUACUGGUUCGGGGGCAUUCUUCCAGAAACUAACAAUAUAAAGUCAUUCACAAGGGUUAUUAAGAAUAACUUGCCACAUAUGUUUGAUGAAAAAGAAAAAUUAUAGAGGCAUCUAUCUGCAUCCUUGUUUGUUGUCUCUACUGGUGUGAACACUUGGUUAACAGAACCUUCCGUGGCUCUAGAAAAUUUUCUUCCUAUCUGCUAAAAGAAUUUUCCCUACGCUUGCAGAAAAUUUACAACCUAGGAGCUAGAAGGUUUUUCACGAAUAAUCUUGCGCCACUUGGGUGCUUUCCAUCAUUUGCUCCAAAACCAAGACCAAGAGGAGAAUGCAAUGAGAAUAUAAACAGGGAAAUUUCCUAUUAUAAUAAUCGUUUGCCUAAUGUACUUCAAAAGCUGCAGUCUCAACUUCCUGGCUUUACUUUUAUGCAUUCAGAUCUUUAUGAGUCCUUUAUGUAUCUAAGAGAAAUUGGAUACAAAUAUGGGAUAUCAGAAACAUGGAAACCUUGUGCAAACAGAAACACUCAUCUCUUCUUUGAUGAUCACGCGUCUCAAAUUGCCAACAAAAUAUAUGCAACACAUUGCUUUAUUGAGAAGACAAUAUGCAAGCCAUCUGGCUUCAAGAUGCUCUAAUUAAUAAUCAGUUGUAUUAUUUGAACAACAAAAUUCAAAUAUACGCCCUAAGUAUAAUAUAUGUCUAUGGUUCUAUUUUCA